rnacentral:rRNA from 1 species
CUUAAGUGGGGAAUAACGCAUCGAAAGGUGUGCUAAUACCGCAUAAUCUCUGAGGAGAAAAGCAGGGGAUCGCAAGACCUUGCGCUUUUGGAGCGGCCGAUGUCUGAUUAGCUUGUUGGUGAGGUAAAAGCCUACCAAGGCUUCGAUCAGUAGCUGGUCUGAGAGGACGACCAGCCACACUGGGACUGAGACACGGCCCAGACUCCUACGGGAGGCAGCAGUGGGGAAUUUUGGACAGUGGGGGCAACCCUGAUCCAGCCAUGCCGCGUGAGUGAAGAAGGCCUUCGGGUUGUAAAGCUCUUUCAGCCGGAACGAAACGGUUACGGUUAAUACCCGUGACUACUGACGGUACCGGAAGAAGAAGCACCGGCUAACUACGUGCCAGCAGCCGCGGUAAUACGUAGGGUGCGAGCGUUAAUCGGAAUUACUGGGCGUAAAGCGUGCGCAGGUGGUUUUGUAAGUCAGAUGUGAAAUCCCCGGGCUCAACCUGGGAACUGCGUUUGAAACUACAAGGCUAGAGUGUGGCAGAGGGGGGUGGAAUUCCGCGUGUAGCAGUGAAAUGCGUAGAGAUGUGGAGGAACACCGAUGGCGAAGGCAGCCCCCUGGGUCAACACUGACGCUCAGGCACGAAAGCAUGGGGAGCAAACAGGAUUAGAUACCCUGGUAGUCCAUGCCCUAAACGAUGUCAACUAGUUGUCGGGCCUUAACGGGCUUGGUAACGUAGCUAACGCGUGAAGUUGACCGCCUGGGGAGUACGAUCGCAAGAUUAAAACUCAAAGGAAUUGACGGGGACCCGCACAAGCGGUGGAUUAUGUGGAUUAAUUCGAUGCAACGCGAAAAACCUUACCUACCCUUGACAUGUAUCGAAGCCCGCAGAAAAGUGGGUGUGCCCGAAAGGGAACGAUAACACAGGUGCUGCAUGGCUGUCGUCAGCUCGUGUCGUGAGAUGUUGGGUUAAGUCCCGCAACGAGCGCAACCCUUGUCAUUAAUUGCCAUCAUUUAGUUGGGCACUUUAAUGAGACUGCCGGUGACAAACCGGAGGAAGGUGGGGAUGACGUCAAGUCCUCAUGGCCCUUAUGGGUAGGGCUUCACACGUAA